rnacentral:rRNA from 1 species
UACAGAGGCCUCGAGCGUUAGGCGGAAUCACUGGGCUUAAAGCGUGUGUAGGCGGACUUCUAAGUGCCUUGUGAAAUCCCACGGCUCACCCGUGGAACUGCUGGGCAUACUGGGAGUCUUGAGCCACCUAGGGGCGAGCGGAACAAAUGGUGGAGCGGUGAAAUGCGUAGAUAUCAGUUGGAACGCCAACGGAGAAAUCAGCUCGCUGGGGGUGUGCUGACGCUGAGACACGAAAGCCAGGGGAGCGAACGGG